rnacentral:lncRNA from 1 species
AAAUCAUUAGCGUGUGUUCUACAGACACUAUCAUGGACCUCUUCUAGGAUUUGCCUAGCCUUAAUAGUGUCCACGCAUCUUAGCAACACCUGAUCGUUUCCUCUUUUAUAUAGGAUUUCUCCAUCUAGGACGUAGUAACUAGCCAGCAUCCUCAACAUUCUCUUGUCAUUCUCAGUUGCUUGGUCUAGGUAUUCGUGAUUUUUCACAUACCGCAAUAUGUCUUGAUACCAAGGGUGGUCGUCUUUUUCUUCUUCGUCGUCAAUGUUGCAAU